rnacentral:rRNA from 1 species
UUGCGNNUGGGCGAAGCCUGACGCAGCGACGCCGCGUGGGGGAUGAAGGCCUUCGGGUUGUAAACCCCUUUCAGCAGGGACGAAGCGAAAGUGACGGUACCUGCAGAAGAAGCGCCGGCUAACUACGUGCCAGCAGCCGCGGUAACACGUAGGGCGCAAGCGUUGUCCGGAAUUAUUGGGCGUAAAGAGCUCGUAGGCGGUCUGUUGCGUCCGCUGUGAAAACUCGGGGCUUAACCCCGAGCCUGCAGUGGAUACGGGCAGACUAGAGGUAGGUAGGGGAGAAUGGAAUUCCCGGUGUAGCGGUGAAAUGCGCAGAUAUCGGGAGGAACACCGGUGGCGAAGGCGGUUCUCUGGGCCUUACCUGACGCUGAGGAGCGAAAGCGUGGGGAGCGAACAGGAUUAGAUACCCUGGUAGUCCACGCCGUAAACGUUGGGCGCUAGGUGUGGGAUCCUUCCACGGAUUCCAUGCCGCAGCUAACGCAUUAAGCGCCCCGCCUGGGGAGUACGGCCGCAAGGCUAAAACUCAAAAAAAUUGACGGA